rnacentral:rRNA from 1 species
GGGGAUAACACUUGGAAACAGGUGCUAAUACCGCAUAACCAUAGUUACCGCAUGGUAACUAUGUAAAAGGUGGCUAUGCUACCGCUUUUGGAUGGGCCCGCGGCGCAUUAGCUAGUUGGUGGGGUAAAGGCUUACCAAGGCAAUGAUGCGUAGCCGAACUGAGAGGUUGAUCGGCCACAUUGGGACUGAGACACGGCCCAAACUCCUACGGGAGGCAGCAGUAGGGAAUCUUCCACAAUGGGCGAAAGCCUGAUGGAGCAACGCCGCGUGGGUGAAGAAGGUCUUCGGAUCGUAAAACCCUGUUGUUAGAGAAGAAAGUGCGUGAGAGUAACUGUUCACGUUUCGACGGUAUCUAACCAGAAAGCCACGGCUAACUACGUGCCAGCAGCCGCGGUAAUACGUAGGUGGCAAGCGUUAUCCGGAUUUAUUGGGCGUAAAGGGAACGCAGGCGGUCUUUUAAGUCUGAUGUGAAAGCCUUCGGCUUAACCGGAGUAGUGCAUUGGAAACUGGGAGACUUGAGUGCAGAAGAGGAGAGUGGAACUCCAUGUGUAGCGGUGAAAUGCGUAGAUAUAUGGAAGAACACCAGUGGCGAAAGCGGCUCUCUGGUCUGUAACUGACGCUGAGGUUCGAAAGCGUGGGUAGCAAACAGGAUUAGAUACCCUGGUAGUCCACGCCGUAAACGAUGA